rnacentral:rRNA from 1 species
ACGAACGCUGGCGGUGUGCUUAACACAUGCAAGUCGCACGGUAAGGCCCUUUCGGGGGUACACGAGUGGCGAACGGGUGAGUAACACGUGAGUAACCUGCCCUCAUCUCUGGGAUAACAGUCGGAAACGGUUGCUAAUACUGGAUAUGAGCUUGCAAGGCAUCUUGUGGGUUGGAAAGAUUUUUUUUGGUUGGGGAUGGACUCGCGGCCUAUCAGCUUGUUGGUGAGGUAGUGGCUCACCAAGGCUUCGACGGGUAGCCGGCCUGAGAGGGCGACCGGCCACAUUGGGACUGAGAUACGGCCCAAACUCCUACGGGAGGCAGCAGUGGGGAAUAUUGCACAAUGGACGGAAGUCUGAUGCAGCAACGCCGCGUGCGGGAUGACGGCCUUCGGGUUGUAAACCGCUUUCAAUUGUGACGAAGCUUUUUUGUGACGGUAGCAGUAGAAGAAGCACCGGCUAACUACGUG